UACGAAGGUCCCGAGCGUUGUUCGGAAUCACUGGGCGUAAAGGGAGCGUAGGCGGCGUGGUAAGUCAGAUGUGAAAUCCCGGGGCUCAACCCCGGAACUGCAUCCGAUACUGCCGUGCUAGAGUGAUGGAGAGGUAGCUGGAAUUCACGGUGUAGCAGUGAAAUGCGUGGAUAUCGUGAGGAACACUCGUGGCGAAAGCGAGCUACUGGACAUUUACUGACGCUGAGGCUCGAAGGCCAGGGUAGCGAAAGGG
rnacentral:rRNA from 1 species